rnacentral:tRNA from 1 species
GCGGGCGUAGCUCAAUGGCAGAGCGCGGUCCUUCCAAGUCCGACACGCGGGUUCGAUCCCCGUCGCCCGCU